rnacentral:rRNA from 1 species
CAGCCGCGGUAAUACCAGCUCCGCUAGCGUAUACUAAAGUUGUUGCUGUUAAAAAGCUCGUAGUUGGAUAUCAGGAGGAGUGGCAUGACCCCGUUUGUGUAACAAACGUGUGUCAAAGCGGUUUUGCGACCGACGCCACCCCGACUUAAUUCAGGAGUGCAGGUCUGUCCAUUCAUUUGGG